AUACGUAGGGGGCAAGCGUUAUCCGGAUUUACUGGUUGUAAAGGGAGCGCAGACGGCAGUGCAAGUCUGAUGUGAAAGCCCGGGGCUCAACCCCGGAACUGCAUUGGAAACUGUACAGCUUGAGUGUCGGAGAGGUAAGCGGAAUUCCUAGUGUAGCGGUGAAAUGCGUAGAUAUUAGGAGGAACACCGGUGGCGAAGGCGGCUUACUGGACGAUAACUGACGUUGAGGCUCGAGAGCGUGGGGAGCAAACAGGAUUAGAUACCCUGGUAGUCCACGCUGUAAACGAUGAAUACUAGGUGUGGGUGUGCACUGCACAUCCGUGCCGCAGCUAACGCAGUAAGUAUUCCACCUGGGGAGUACGUUCGCAAGAAUGAAACUCAAAUGAAUUGACGGGG
rnacentral:rRNA from 1 species